rnacentral:rRNA from 1 species
AUUGAACGCUGGCGGCAGGCCUAACACAUGCAAGUCGAGCGAGUGGCGGACGGGUGAGUAAUGUCUGGGAAACUGCCCGAUAGAGGGGGAUAACUACUGGAAACGGUGGCUAAUACCGCAUACCAUCGGAUGUACCCAUAUGGGAUUAGCUAGUAGGUGGGGUAAAGGCUCACCUAGGCGACGAUCUCUAGCUGGUCUGAGAGGAUGAUCAGCCACACUGGAACGGAGACACGGCCCAGACUCCUACGGGAGGCAGCAGUGGGGAAUAUUGCACAAUGGGCGCAAGCCUGAUGCAGCCAUGCCGCGUGUAUGAAGAAGGCCUUCGGGUUGUAAAGUAAUUUCAGCGGGGAGGCGUUACCCGCAGAAGAAGCACCGGCUAACUCCGUGCCAGCAGCCGCGGUAAUAC